rnacentral:hammerhead_ribozyme from 1 species
GUACUGAUGAAGAGUCCCACACUAGGACGAAACGGCUGUCCAGUAC